rnacentral:sRNA from 1 species
GCCAAAGGAAUAAUACAUGUAGGAUCCCCGCAAGGAUGCACGACCGUGUGUACUGUAGGGUCUGUCUGAUGUCGGGCAGACUCUAUUUUUUUAU